GAUGAACGCUAGCUACAGGCUUAACACAUGCAAGUCGAGGGACCGGCGCACGGGUGAGUAACACGUAACCAACCUGCCCUUUACUCGGGGACAGCCUUUCGAAAGAACGAUUAAUACCCGAUAUAAUGGAUGGGGAUGCGUUCCAUUAGGUUGUUGGUAAGGUAACGGCUCACCAAGCCUUCGAUGGAUAGGGGUUAGGAGAGGAAGGUCCCCCAGGUUGGAACUACGACACGGUCUAAACUCCGACGGGGCGCAGCAGUGAAUAGUAUUGGUGAAUCGACGCUAGCCUGAACCUGCCAAGUAGCGUGAAGAAUGAAGGCUUAUGAAUCUUAUACUUCUAUUAUAUAAGAAUAUGUAUUAUAUGAAUAAGGAUCGGCUAACUCCGUGCCAGCAGCCGCGGUAAUAC
rnacentral:rRNA from 1 species